GGGCUCUGUUGCAAUAUCCAUCACUCGGAGUGAAGCAAUGUGUUGGGCAUGCAUUCUCAAUGGUGUGUGUGUGUGUAGCAUCCGCAGCAGAAUGAAUGGUCAACUCUCAAACUGAUGGUUCAUGAAAGUUUAAUGCGGUACCAUUUCCAUAAACACACCGUAAGACCUGAUGGAGAAACAAACCAAAAAUGCUCUUAUAAUACGAAACAAUACAGUCCACAGACAACACACUUUUACACAACUUUACAUUAGCGUGCUUCAUACAUCAAAUGCAUCAAUAUGCAUGAGAAUGUCUACCCCAAAUAGUCGAUUACGUGCUAAUUGCUUACUAAUGUGGCGCAAGAUUAACUAAUAUAUUAGCCAGCGCAAACAGUGGAGCUAGGCUACAGCUAAUAACGUCAUAUUGCUAGCAGACUUCAGAACAUCAGUUACAACACAAAUAUCCAUUCAGUAUACGUUCAAAAUAAUUAGAAACAUUUGAAAUAAGACCAAUAUUUAAAAACAGUAAAUACCUUGCUCUCUUUCCAGCUAGGUGCUAAGUUUGACGUUGUUUUCUUGCAUACUUGAACAACCUUCACAGAAAGUAAUUUUUCCUUUCUCUCCCGCGCCCGUUUCCCAUAUACCCUUUAACCUUGUAUCAGAGAAGGCACAAAAAAUAAACUGCUGUCAAAAUAAGUCACACUAAACUGUCAAAUAUACAGUGAGGUUUGAAAGAUAAUAAAAAUUAAAAAAAAACGAGCCCAAAUAUUGAGCAGAUAUUGUGAUCUGGCACUCGUUUUUAGGGGUUCAUUUACAGUGUGCUAGAAUGGACAUUGGGACGUAAGCUGGAGUUUGUUCAUAUUUAGUUACAUAUUUCUAAAGAGAACAUGUCUACAGGUCUGUAUCCUUUAUGUACAUUAUUGGAGAUCUACGUCCAUGGAUGUAACACGUACCAAUAAAUGUUGUUAACCAAUGAGGAACGUUGAGAUAUGAGGGAAAACUGUGACUUACAGCAUUCCUCUGAUGUGAACUCUAGCACAUGUGCAAACAUUGAAUUGGACUUUGUGUAAAUACUGUAUUGCUUACAUGUAAAUAAGAAAGUGUAUUUCCUAAUGCCUGAUUCUUUUGCAAAACUGUGUGGUAUGUUUUAACUUGUUCUUCAUCACUUGAAUUCACUGGUAGGAUUUUUAUGUCAUGAUUAUUUACAUGUCUUAGGAAAGAGAUGAUCGAUUAAAACUCUGACCCCUUCUGGUGGCAUUUUCUCAACAAUGCAUAAUAUUGUAUACUACCCUCAGAAAGUAAAUUUAGCUUUCAAAACUAUAAGUCCUACAAACUCAUACUUAGUACUGUUAGAAAGUUAAGAAAGGAGUCAGAAACAAUGUGAAUACUACAGAGCCCGAGAUGCAGCAGGCCCCAAAAAUGCUGAAAUUUACCAAAACAAAUUCUGGGGUUGGGGGUCCCCCCAAUUGUCCCCAUGUUGGGGAAUAAGAGAUUUGAAAGGUGUGAUAUAGAAUAUGUCACCAAUAACUGUUACAAAAUGUAAAAAACAAAUUUCACAGAUCUUUUACCUAAUGGUGGCACUUUAAACAUGGAAAUUCUUAUUGGAACACAGACACUAAAAGGGCAGGGCAUGUGCUACAUUCUUACAGGAAUUAUAUAUAUAUGUGACCGACCGGCUCGAUUCGGUCUUUAUGUAGCAAAGUUUGAAAUUGUGUUUUUACAUUGGAUAAAAGGAGAGACUCAG
rnacentral:lncRNA from 1 species